rnacentral:tRNA from 1 species
GAGAUGUUAGUAAAAUAAUUACAUAGUCUUGUCAAGACUAAAUCGUAGGCGAAAAUCCUACACAUCU